CCUACGGGGGGCAGCAGUCGAGAAUCAUUCACAAUGGGGGAAACCCUGAUGGUGCGACGCCGCGUGGGGGAAUGAAGGUCUUCGGAUUGUAAACCCCUGUCAUGUGGGAGCAAAUUAAAAAGAUAGUACCACAAGAGGAAGAGACGGCUAACUCUGUGCCAGCAGCCGCGGUAAUACAGAGGUCUCAAGCGUUGUUCGGAAUCACUGGGCGUAAAGCGUGCGUAGGCUGUUUCGUAAGUCGUGUGUGAAAGGCGCGGGCUCAACCCGCGGACGGCACAUGAUACUGCGAGACGAGAGGAAUGGAGGGGGAACCGGAAUUCUCGGUGUAGCAGUGAAAUGCGUAGAUAUCGAGAGGAACACUCGUGGCGAAGGCGGGUUCCUGGACAUUAACUGACGCUGAGGCACGAAGGCCAGGGGAGCGAAAGGGAUUAGAUACCCGAGUAGUC
rnacentral:rRNA from 1 species